GUCCCUCUCCCCCCCUCCUCCUUUUCCUGCCUCUGUAAAUUCUGCACAGAAACCGAGCUCCAUAUAGAUGCAGAAAUGCACCAGAAUCCUCAUCCUGCCGUUACCCAGCGCUGACCUCGCCGCCUCUGACACGCCGCAGGAUGGAUCGCUAGGGAAGAAGGCCUCGGCUCAGUGUCUGGUCACCACGGCAACAUGAAUUACUCUCCCAUCAAUAUUGUAGCCAGGGGGAACCUAACGCUCAGGGAGCUGGAAGACGCGGUGGAUGCCGGGCUGUGGGAGCCUCAGACCAUCAUUAUUGUGGUCAUCUUCGGACUGGUGUGUUUCCUCCAUCUGACGGCCUUUCUGUAUACGGUCUGUUUGCAGAGCUAUGUUCAUGCUGGCGCUCAGACCUUUGUACGACCUGUCCCUCGCGUAAAAAUAAAUGGAGAAGGCAAAAAAUGUUUCCACUUCAUAUCCCAGUGGCUGAAUGAUAACUGUCACCCACCACAACGAGAGAAAGACCCCAUCAUGAUCGACAUGUGAAAGAUGAAAAACAACAAUGGCGACUAUGACAAGAUUUAAAAAGAGAAAGAAAUGACUUGCUAUGUGGCCCACGGGUACGGCUCAUUCCACACUUUAAAUUGUGGAGCAAAGAAUGGUAGAAAAUGAUGAUGUCUGUUCUGUACACGUCUUAUCAGGGUCAAGUGUGGCCAAGUUAGUGAGCAAAAGAUUUUGGGAGAAGAAAUCUACUAAGUAUUUAGAGAAGAUGUGUGAGCAGUGUAAAGUGUAGAAUAUGCUAAUAAAACAUGCUGUUACAAUAAA